GAGGCGCCUGGACCAAUCAGAGAGAAGACAGAGACGUCUCAGCAGCAGAUGAAGCCUCACAGAUCAUCAUCAUAAAGUCUUUGAUUAUUUUCAGAUCAGAGUGAGCCCUCUUGUCUGUGACUGGCUUCGGUGGCACAAACGUCACACAAUCAAAGAUUGGGAGAAGCUCUUCGGUGGACGGCGGCAGGUGUUGAGGGAACUUGGUGAGCCGCAGGUUGGAGCAGUCCACCACGUUGGCCUCACACCGGCAUUUGGCGGGACACACCGGCUUGCUGUUGCACUCGUAGCUCAGGCGUCGGUCUUCAGCUCCUGGAAGAACAGCAAGCAGAAAGUCCAGAUGAGUCUGAGCGUCUGGACGGUCGCUGCCACGCUGCAGAAUGAAAGCUCGUCACCUGGGAUGUGGUACUGCUCCUUAGCUGUUGGAAAAAGGAAGAAAAGGGAAAAAGUCAAGAAAGUUUUGACAUUUGAAUGAAUCCAAACCGGGACAGAAAGAAUUAAGUUUGUUUGCAUCAGUGCAGCUUUCUUGAUCCAAAGAGGAGGAUCAGAAAAUAAAAGUUCUUCGCUGUAGUGGAGCUCGUUAGCUCGCUACAGCCGAGGUCGCUACAGCCGAGGUCGCUAGCUCAAUAAAACUAUACAGUGGAGCUCGCUAGCUCGAUACACCGCAGCCCAUUAGCUCGCUACAGCAAACUCUGCUAGCUUGCAACAGUGGAGCUCGCUAGCAUGCCAGGCCGUCCGCUGGGAGGCUGACUAGCGUUUUCGCGCCAACACUCUGAGUGUCCACUUCAGACAACGUAACACAGGAGGGCCCACCACUGGUCCUGCAGACGAACCCAUUCAGGACCACAUUUUGAAACCAUAUGGAUCCACCUGGUCUUGCUUUCUAAACCUGAAGAUCUCCCAACCGCCGUCAGGUAAUGUGUUGGAUCAGAAAAAUCUUAAGGAAGAUCAAGAAACUUUGAAUUAUCUCUGUCCAGGUUGAAACUUUAAAGGAAAAAAAAAUAAUAAAUAAAAUGUUUGACGGAUAAAAAAGUUUUAGCUUCAAUCUAAAAAGGAUUUGUCUGAAAAUCACAUGACUGCGGUGGUAAAAUCUGUCUGACAGACUGAUUGAAGUCUUUUAUGGAGGAAGGUCCUGAUUACAGACUGAGAAACACGUCGGUCCGUCUGGAUCACUGACAGCAUCUCUGAGUCUCAGCACCUCUGGGGUCUCUGUUUUUGGGUCAAAGUGAGACAUCUUCCCUUUUCCCCACAGACACAGGGAACAUCUGGAAUUCCAGGAUUUCCCGGCCACUGACCGGAACAUCGGAACUUGCUGCUCUUGAUCUGGGCGAUGCGCUUGUUGGCGAGCCGGCGGGGGCUGGCGCAGCGCGCUCCGCUGGUCUCGAUGGGGUUGGACCGCAGGAAGUCAGCCAGCCACUUCACGUUGCAGUCGCAGACGAAGGGGUUCUGGGCCAGGUGGCUGAUGGGAAAACAGAGCAGGGAUCAGCCGGAGCCCCGGGAGAAGCGGUGAACGGGUGUGGGGCGUUCUUACAGAGUCUGGAUGCUGUGCAGCGAGCUGAAGGUCCCUUUGGCCAGACUCUGGAUCUUGUUGUCGUACAGCGAUAGGAGAGCCAAGUUCUCCAGAUCUUUGAAGGCCGAGGCGCGAACGCAGUGGAUCUUAUUGGCAUUCAGCAACCUGGAACGUCAGGAAAGAGUAUUUUUUAGAACAGGAUUUACUUCUGCAGCUUCGACUGAAACAGAUGAACCUUCAAACCGGAUGUUUUCUGCAUCUCCAGGCGAUUCCAGAAUGCACAUUCUUCCUUAUUUCACCUUUAAAUCAAAGACUCACAGCAGUUCCAGAGAAGACAGGCCGUCAAAAACCCCGCCGGGCAGCUCGGUGAUCUUGUUUCCGUACAGAACCCUGAACACAUCAGAUAGGAAGUUCUGCAUCAGUAUGACGCUUUGGUUCUGAUCCGACCCUGUCUGAAGGCGCCGCCCAAUGAGGUGAGAAGAUGAAGAGCAAAAAGUUUAUUUCAUGAAGGAAACAGCGGUUCUGUCAGUGACCCGACAGCUGAGGCAUCAUGGGAACGCGAGGAGCUGCAGCUCCGAACGAAACGAAAGUUUGACGGCUUUGAUUCGGUUCAUCCGGCAGACGGGUACGUCAGAGUACCUCCAUGAUCGUCUGAUCCAGUCAGGAUCAGAGUCUGAGAUCAGAGGAGGAAACAGAGAGCAGAGCGGGAAGGGAAGAUCCAUCAGCUCAAAGAUCUCUGAGGAUCUCACUACCAGCUGAUCCAGUCAGAAGCUGCUCCAUGAAAUCCACUGAGGCUGAACUUCAGAGGAAAAGCAGAGCAGAAGAAGAAAAAUCCAGAGUUCAGACCAGAACUGAAGACGUAACGAGACGCCUUCGUCAUGAAGAUCAGAUGAAACAAAUCCUGAGAGUUUCUGCUCAAAUCUGUGGAUUUUCAUCUUUCUUCUUCUGUGUUUAAAGAAAGGUUUCUUUAGUCAUGGAUGACAUGUGGAGAUGAUGGAUCCACUGAAGCCUCACGGAUCUAUAAAUCUGACCCAGAUUUAUCAGAUUAAAGCUCCUGGAGCUCAAAAGCAACAAAAAAACAAAAUAUUUCUGUUUAUAUUUGCUUUAAACAGUC